CUGACUAUCCUUACUACUCUCCUCCUCCUCCCAAGAAAUCCCCACCACCUCCUCCACCACCAUACAAAUACAAAUCACCACCUCCUCCUCCUCCAGUGUACUCUCCACCUCCACCACCUUAUAAGUAUAAGUCUCCACCGCCACCACCUCCAGUUUACAAGUACAAAUCCCCUCCACCUCCUCCACCAGUUUAUUCUCCACCACCUCACAAGAAGCCUUACAAGUACCAGUCUCCACCACCUCCUCCACCAGUUUAUAAAUACAAGUCUCCUCCACCCCCUCCACCAGUGUAUUCUCCACCACCACCUAAGAAACCCUACAAGUACAAGUCUCCACCACCUCCUACUCCAGUUUACAAGUAUAAGUCACCCCCACCUCCUCCUCCAGUGUAUUCCCCACCACCACCUAAGAAGCCUUACAAGUACAAGUCUCCACCACCUCCUACUCCAGUUUACAAGUAUAAGUCUCCUCCACCACCCAAGAAACCCUACAAGUACAAGUCCCCACCACCUCCUCCACCAGUUUACAAGUACAAAUCUCCCCCACCACCAGUCUAUUCUCCUCCACCACCCCCAUACAAAUACAAGUCUCCUCCACCACCCCCUCCAGUAUACAAAUAUAAGUCUCCACCUCCACCACCACCAGUGCACAAGUAUCCACCUCCAUCACCACCAAAGAAGCCAUAUAAGUACAAGUCUCCACCACCACCUCCUCCAGUUUACAAGUACAAGUCUCCACCACCACCCCCGGUCCACAAGCCGCCACCACCCCACUACAUCUAUGCAUCUCCUCCUCCCCCCCACCACUACUAGACUAUGGAUUCCAUAGUUUGAAGGUAUAAUUCGUCACACUACAUGAUAUCCAUGCAAUUUUUAUUUCUACAUAUAAUGACCAUCUUAUAUAAAAUGGGCCGAUCACCAAAUGACGGAAAUCCAAUGUAUGAUUGCAGGAAAAGGAAUGUCAGAAUAAAGAAAGGGAUAGUAUAGCAGGAACCCUACAAUUGCAGAUCGGAACGAAAGAGAGUUUCCGCGUUUGGUCAUGU
rnacentral:lncRNA from 1 species